rnacentral:tRNA from 1 species
GAGGGGAUAGCUCAGUGGUAGAGUGCAUGCUUAACACGCACGAGAUCCUGUGUUCUAUCCCCAGUACCUCCA